rnacentral:rRNA from 1 species
AUGCUCUCCGCGUCCUCUCUCAGCUGCACUCCUUCUCCCCUCCAGGCUCUCGCUGAGCUGCCCAUGGCCCUCGUGUCCGCGUCGUCGUCUCCGGCUCCGUCGGCCGCCUCGGCUGCUGCCGCCCCGCUGGCCGUGGCUGCUCAUGCCGCCCGCAGUGCCGCCCCAGCAGCUGGUGGCCGUCUAUCCCGCGCCGGACUCCCGCCACGGUCGGAUGAUCGUGCCCCUGGCUUGCUGGAUGGAGGGCUUGGGUGUCUUCCGUCCCCGGCCUCUGUUGACGCUGCCUCUGCCAGCGCUGCACCGUCAACCCCGACUGCUGCUGUGGCUCCGACGGCGUCCACUUCCGAUACCACCGGCCGCCGCCCCUCUGCUGGCGCCUCCACCGGCUUGCUGUUGCUGCCCCCCUCGUCGGGCCCUAUUCAGACGGAUCUGGAAACAGAAGCUCUGCUGCGCCCCUCCUACGGGCAGCUGCGUGCCCCUGCCCAGAUGGAUGGGGGGCUGGCUCCUCAGAUGCUACUGCUGCCUUCGACGCCGGUCGUGUCGGCGCUUGUGACAGGUGAGGGGGAGGAGUGCAGGGAGCUCCCAAUGCUCUAG